rnacentral:rRNA from 1 species
UACGGAAGGCAGCAGUGGGGAAUAUUGCACAAUGGGCGCAAGCCUGAUGCAGCCAUGCCGCGUGUAUGAAGAAGGCCUUCGGGUUGUAAAGUACUUUCAGUCGUGAGGAAGGUGUUAAGGUUAAUAACCUUAGCAAUUGACGUUAGCGACAGAAGAAGCACCGGCUAACUCCGUGCCAGCAGCCGCGGUAAUACGGAGGGUGCGAGCGUUAAUCAGAAUUACUGGGCGUAAAGGGCACGCAGGCGGUUAAUUAAGUUGGAUGUGAAAUCCCCGGGCUUAACCUGGGAAUGGCAUUCAAGACUGGUUAGCUAGAGUCUUGUAGAGGGGGUAGAAUUCCAUGUGUAGCGGUGAAAUGCGUAGAGAUGUGGAGGAAUACCGGUGGCGAAGGCGGCCCCUGGGACAAAGACUGACGCUCAUGUGCGAAAGCGUGGGGAGCAAACAGGAUUAGAUACC